GUAACAUUCGAGAGAGAAUUGGAUAAGUACUUGAAGAGGAAAUUGAACAGGACAAUGGGGAAAAAUAAUGAAUGGGACUAAUGGGAUAAUCUGCUAUCGAGUCAGCACGUGUGAGAGAACCAACACACUCUUGAUGUAUCCUGGCCAACAGUGAGACAUCAAAUGUUAUUGCGACUCCACUAUUCUGGGAGUUCCUGAUGUGUUUUGUGGAGAGAAGUGCCUUCAUCCAUCACUUGAAAUAGAAACUACUUUCUCUUUUGGGGCCAAGGAUCUGAAAGAUACCGAUGACAGAGAUUCUACUGGCUCCAGGUCAUCACAAAUAUAACAGCUUUCUCCAUGAAGAAAUACAAAGUGUUUUUGAAAACAGGGAUGUUAUUUUAAAUGAAAGGCUUCAACCAAUCAGAUAUAAACUGAUAUACAGACACAAACUGAUACUUGGGCAACCUGGUAAAAAGUAAAGGCGUAGCUGACAGCAAACGAGCUAGUCAAAUAGCGGAAAGUUCUGGAUUGACCACUUUCACUAGAUUCUAACUGAUGUGAUCAACCUGUAUCCUCACUGGAGAUACACUUACUCUUUUACCUCCAUUCCUUUUGUAAUGCUGGAUUUACUCUUGCCCGCAGCAAGAAAGAAGGAGGUAAAUUUGUGCAGUUGAUGUUGGAAGCAGAUUGUGUUCAUGUUAUAUGUGA